CACAAAGUCACAGCCCGCUCGCAGAUCAGAGCUGCUCCAAAUACAAAAACGAAGGAACAGACACGCUGUCAAUGAUGCUGAAGAGCAAGGAUAAAUCAGUAGAGAAGCAUAUACCAGGAAGAUAUGAAGUGACUCUCAGAAAUUUCUUCUAAGACUGGGAAAAAAAAUGCUUGACUUUGGGAUUGAGAGUCCUCAAUCUGCUUAAUUAAUCAGAAAAGAAGAGUGAAAGACAACUUGGUUGAAAUAUGUGCAUCCAAAGAGAGGAAAUAUGGUGCACAGAACCCUUUAAUCUUUUGGUGAAAGGCAUAACCAGAGUCUGGAAACUGAAUCACAUAUGCAAGACUCAGAAAUUUGCUACACACAUGCUUGACAAAGAGAUUGACUGAGAAACUCUUGAGGAAAGUGUAGAGCCUUUAUCAUCUCUUCAAAGCCAGGACUUGAUGCCUUUCCUCAACCAAUUCUUACUUUAUGCUCUGAAACUGUCUGCUGCAAGGGUGAAAUUUAAUAUCCUGUUACAGGAGAGCCCAGAUAUAUACAUCGCAGCCCCUUCUAGCCUAGAUGAAUCAGGGACUCAUUUCCAAGAGGAGUAAACUAAGCAUUGGAACAUACAAUUUCAUCCUCCAUUAUCAAUCCUGUAGAUCAGGACAGCUGACAGUGAAACAUCACUUCCAUGGCUCAAAGCCUUGGCAUUGCAAGAAAAUGGCUGAAAACACAGCAACUCUACAUGGUUUUAUCACUUUCCUUUUAUUGAACCCCCAGGAUAUAUUCAACCAAGGUGUCUUUUGUUGAUUAUUUUAAAAUUAUUGAUGAUGAUAAUGUUUUAUAACUAUAGUACCCUCUCAUGGUUUUUGAAAUAAAGAAAUAAAGUUACAUUGAAAAUUAGAUGGUAAAA